GACGAACGCUGGCGGCGUGCUUAAUACAUGCAAGUCGAACGGAAAGGCCCUGCUUUUGUGGGGUGCUCGAGUGGCGAACGGGUGAGUAACACGUGAGUAACCUGCCCUUGACUUUGGGAUAACUUCAGGAAACUGGGGCUAAUACCGGAUAGGAGCUCCUGCUGCAUGGUGGGGGUUGGAAAGUUUCGGCGGUUGGGGAUGGACUCGCGGCUUAUCAGCUUGUUGGUGGGGUAGUGGCUUACCAAGGCUUUGACGGGUAGCCCGCCUGAGAGGGUGACCGGGCACAAUGGGACUGAGAUACGGACCAGACUCCUACGGGAGGCAGCAGGGGGGAAUAUUGCACAAUGGGCCGAAGCCUGAUGCAGCAACGCCGCGUGCGGGAAGACGGGCUUCGGGUUGUAAACCGCUUUCGCCUGUGACGAAGCGUGAGUGACGGUAAUGGGUAAAGAAGCACCGGCUAACUACGUG
rnacentral:rRNA from 1 species